GCGGGCGUGGUGGAAUUGGUAGACACGCGAGACUUAGGAUCUAGUGCCGCAAGGUGUGGAGGUUCGAGUCCUCUCGCCCGCACAA
rnacentral:tRNA from 1 species